UACAGAGGAGCCAAGCGUUGUCCGGAUUGACUGGGCGUAAAGCGCACGCAGGCGGACGCGCGCGUGGGGUGUGAAAUCUGGCCGCUUAACGGCCAGGCGCCAUCCCAUACGGCGCGUCUGGAGUGAUGCAGAGGUCGGUGGAAUUGCCGGUGUAGCGGUGAAAUGCGCAGAUAUCAGGAAGAACACCCGUGGCGAAGGCGGCUCUCUGGGACGGUACUGACGCUGAGACGCGAAAGCGUGGGGAGCGAACAGG
rnacentral:rRNA from 1 species